rnacentral:misc_RNA from 1 species
GAUGAAGAACGCAGUAAAAUGCGAUAAGUAAUGUGAAUUGCAGAAUUCAGUGAAUCAUCGAAUCUUUGAACGCACAUUGCGCCCGCCAGUAUUCUGGCGGGCAUGCCUGUUCGAGCGUCAUUUCAACCCUCAAGCCCCCGGCUUGUGUUGGGGACCUGCGGCUGCCGCAGGCCCUGAAAAGCAGUGGCGGGCUCGCUGUCACACCGAGCGUAGUAGCAUACAUCUCGCUCUGGGCGUGCUGCGGGUUCCGGCCGUUAAACCACCUUCAUAACCCAAGGUUGACCUCGGAUCAGGUAGGAAGACCCGCUGAACUUAAGCAUAUCAAUAAGCGGAGGA